rnacentral:rRNA from 1 species
CAGCCGCCGCGGUAAUACGUAGGUGGCAAGCGUUGUCCGGAAUUAUUGGGCGUAAAGGGCUCGCAGGCGGUUUCUUAAGUCUGAUGUGAAAGCCCCCGGCUCAACCGGGGAGGGUCAUUGGAAACUGGGAAACUUGAGUGCAGAAGAGGAGAGUGGAAUUCCACGUGUAGCGGUGAAAUGCGUAGAGAUGUGGAGGAACACCAGUGGCGAAGGCGACUCUCUGGUCUGUAGCUGACGCUGAGGAGCGAAAGCGUGGGGAGCGAACAGGAUUAGAUACCCGAGUAGUCCCUGUCUCUUAUAC